rnacentral:rRNA from 1 species
UACGGAGGGGGCUAGCGUUGUUCGGAAUUACUGGGCGUAAAGCGCACGUAGGCGGCUUUGUAAGUUAGAGGUGAAAGCCCGGGGCUCAACUCCGGAAUUGCCUUUAAGACUGCAUCGCUAGAAUUGUGGAGAGGUAAGUGGAAUUCCGAGUGUAGAGGUGAAAUUCGUAGAUAUUCGGAAAGAACACCAGUGGCGAAGGCGACUUACUGGACACAUAUUGACGCUGAGGUGCGAAAGCGUGGGGAGCAAACAGG